CUGGUUUCCUGACUCCUGUUCCAUUGCUCAUUCUCCAUUACCCUUUCUUUCUCAACUUUUGGUGGAAUUUUAAACAGGAUGUCUACGAGUUCCUUUUCACUGUCAGAGCCACAUCUCUCUUCAAUGACUUGAAUUUCUGCCACUGUUAAAGAAGUCUCUGAAGAAGUGAUGUCUUUGGAUUUCUUUCUCCCCAACAUAGAGUGGACAUUCAGAGACCUGGCAUAUUCAUUUGUUUAUUUAUUCACUUAAGUUUUUUUUUUUUUGUUUUUUCUGAGUGUCUAAGUAGUUCCAGGGUUUCAGGAAUUCGGGGUUGAAUGGCAGUUCCCUAUGUUAGAGAAGCUUGUGUCCUGCUUGAGUGGGCAUGCAAAUAAAUAACAAGUUACAAGAAAGUAGACAAUGUCUAAGGGCUAGGGUUAGGUUCAUGCAGAGAACGCUGUUGGGAAGGGGGGUAUAGCUUACCCAGC
rnacentral:lncRNA from 10 species